rnacentral:misc_RNA from 1 species
GAUGAAGAACGUAGCGAAAUGCGAUAAGUAAUGUGAAUUGCAGAAUUCAGUGAAUCAUCGAAUCUUUGAACGCACAUUGCGCCCGCCAGCACUCUGGCGGGCAUGCCUGUUCGAGCGUCAUUUCAACCAUCAAGCCCCCAGGGGCUUGUGCUGGGGCCCUGCGGCUGCCCGCAGGCCCUGAAAACCAGUGGCGGGCUCGCUAGUCACACCGAGCGCAGUAGCACAUCUCGCUCAGGGCGUGCGGCGGGCUCCUGCCGUGAAACCCCCCACUGUAACCCCAAAGGUUGACCUCGAAUCAGGUAGGAAUACCCGCUGAACUUAAGCAUAUCAAUAAGCGGAGGA